CCGAAACCGCUAACACUGAACCUUAUAAAACCCAACCACCCUCAUCAUCUCUUUCCCUUUUUCGUUCGAUCAAAACCGCAACCGAACCGAAACAAAAGCGAACCCGAACUCGGUCUUUUCCUCGUCGCCGGUCGCCGCUGACCACCACCUUCUCCGGCCACCACCUCCGACCGUCUCCGACCAUCCGGUAACAUUUUCCGACCGAACUUUCUUUUCCGAUCUUAGUUUUCGUUCUUUCCGGUUAUUAUGUACUGGUAAUUCUCUUGUGCACAUCCUCUUGGGAAAAUCUAUUAUUCUUAUCUUAUUCCAAGAAUACGCAACGCACUCUAAGGUGAGUAUACUUGACCCAUUUUCAUUUUACACGUUUGGGUGUAGUAUGCAUUUCCUUAUCAAAAACACAAUGAUAAACACUUUCAUUGCACAAUCUAUCCAUUUAAACAUGAACAUUUUCUUAUGCAAUGCACAAAAUAAUACAUUAUAUAUGAAUACUUUGAUACAUCUUGAUGCUUGUUAAUACUCAUAUUCCCAAAAAAAAAAAAAAUGGAAACUUAUCAUCAAGAUAGGGGUGAUUCCCAAACCUUGAUGAUUAGCUCCACUCACUUUCUAACUUCACCAACGAGCUAGAGGUGAUUCUCUUACCUCGGAGGUAGUUACCAACUUUUAUUCGUUCUCAAUGAAAUUUUAUGAUUGAACGUUCCUUUUCAAAAAUUUUAGAAUUUAUUCCACGUGCAUGCUAAUACGAUAUACUGGAUUCGUGUUACUUGGGUUAAACUUUAUGUGAUAAACUUGUCAUUAACUUCGUAAGAAGCCACACCUUAACAUACUCGAUGGGUUGACCUGUGUAUUCACAUGCCAGGGAUACGUUAAUCUUGUUAACUAAGUAUGGCAUGUGGAAUGUUCUAAAUUUUUAUGAAAUACGUUAAUCUUAGAUUUCGAGGACGAAAUCUCCUAAAGUAGGGGAGACUGUAACAUCCGCCAAUUUUAGAGCUGUAGGUUGUAACGCCCCUCCCGUAUAUACGGGUAUUGUUAGGUUUAAUCUAUUAACUCUAUUACCACCCUUUCGAGGGUUAGGCUAUGUUAAUUGCGUAACUAUGGUUUGGACAUGUGGAUUUCAUCGUUACGAGUAUGACAGUUAAUUGAAUAUCAGUUGUUCACAUGGAUUAGAUUUGAUAAACUAUUAACUCUAUUAUGCUAUAUCAAACCUGUAUACUCGCCAGCAAUUAUUUGUUGAUUGUAUUUUAAAUGCAUACUGCAGGUUGAGGAUCCAAGAAAAACAAGAAAAGACUAGGAUGGCUUAGAAACCCAUCAACUAUUUAAAUUUCCAACUCUAUGUUAUGUAUUUGAACUUUUCUAUGUAUUGUAUGAAACUUAUGAUUAUCAAUGAAAUAAACUUUAAUUAUUGUC
rnacentral:lncRNA from 1 species